GCAGGCCCGCGCAGGAAGAAUGGCCGGGCCUGUGGCAUCCGGCAGCCGGGCUGUGUUGCUGCGGCCGCUGCGGAGCUGGGCUUUCCGGGCGCUGCGCCGCGAUGGGCCCGGGAGUCCCGCUUCCUGCCCAGGGUCUCGAGGGGCGCAGCGUUGGGCCUGGCCUCGGGAUAAAGAUAGAGAAAAUGAAAAAGAGAAAAAAUCAGUGAUCUGUGUUGAGGGCAAUAUUGCCAGUGGAAAGACAACAUGCCUGGAAUUCUUCUCCAACUCAACAGACAUCGAGGUGUUAACAGAGCCUGUGCCCAAGUGGAGAAAUGUCCGAGGCCAUAAUCCUCUGGGUCUGAUGUACCAGGAUGCCUGUCGAUGGGGCCUCACGCUGCAGACCUACGUGCAGCUCACCAUGCUCGACCAGCACACUCGUCCGCAGACGUUGCCUGUACGGUUGAUGGAGCGGUCAAUUCACAGUGCAAGAUACGUUUUUGUAGAAAACUUACACAGAAGAUAUGAUUCCCUCUUGGUGACAAAAUGGCUGUGGCAGAACCGGGCUUCUCAUCUGCUGGCUAUAGGUGGGAAAAUGCCCGAAGUGGACUAUGUGGUCCUGUCGGAAUGGUUUGACUGGAUUGUGAGGAACAUCGACGUGUCCAUUGACUUGAUAGUUUAUCUCCGGACCACUCCUGAGACCUGUUACCAGAGGCUGAAGAUGAGAUGCAGGGAAGAGGAGAAGGUCAUCCCAUUGGAGUACCUGGAUGCUAUUCACCACCUAUACGAGGAGUGGCUCAUUAAAGGGAGCCUUUUCCCAGUGGCAGCCCCUGUUCUGGGGGUGGCUGGCCCAGAGCCUCAUUGCACCUUUUCAUGGUGACCCAGGGCAUCCGAAGGAACGUCAGUUGCUGUUCUGGUCUGUCACAGAGUGGUGCCCUUAGGAGGUGCUGAGGUGAUCGAGGCUGACCACAACAUGCAGAAAAUGUUAGAACUCUUUGAACAAAACCGGCACCGAAUCCUAACUCUGGGGAAUCGGAAGCGUGGUCCAUAGGAUAGGGAGGAUCAUGCCUGAGAAAUGCCCGCUGCUGCCAGGUUAGCUAUUAGGAGCAGUUUGGAAAACUGCACUCUCAGGAGGGCUUUGUAUCUGCCCACAAUUGUCUUCCUCUUGGCCUUCUCUCCUUUCCCAGUGUCUUCAUCCUGGGAUCCCGGGCCUCGUGGGUGAAUGGGACCAAUGGGUUUGCCAUGCCCUCAGGUGGCACAGCCUUGCAUUCCCCGGGUGCUUCUUCUGGUGGUUUCCCACCUCUGGGUCCUUCUAAGCUAGGGCAGUUCCACCUGACUUGUGCUGGGCUCGUGGUCUCUAGCCCUUCAGGCUAUCCAGGAGGGGAGGGUAGCAGUCUUCCAUCCCAGGGGAGGAAGUUGCACCUCAGACAGACUGAGAGACUCUCUGGGGUCACACAGCCAGUGAUGAUGGGGUCAGCACUGUUCAGGCUUCUGGCGACUCCCAGCCCAUCGCUGCCUCACCCCCGAGCCCCACCUUGCCUACUGGAGACCCUCACACGUGUGUGGGAAAGGUCAACUGUGUGUGCAGCCAGCAUCAUCAUUUUCUCAUGGUUUGAGCCGUCCUUGAGGACAGUUAGUGUUUCUUGACUUUCACAAAAUUGUGCCACGUUUGGCUUGAGCCCAGGGUUCAUCUGUUCUCUAGCGUGAGGCUGAUUAACACCUCAUCAGGACUUCCCUGACUUAGGAGAGGUAUGCAUUGGCUCCUAAAUGGUGCUCGGUCUCCUUGGUGACAAAGGUCAUGCUUGAGCGGCUGCUGAUGACCUGUCAGGGCAGUGGCUCGUGGCCCCCCCGGGCUGCUGUGCCCAGUGCAAUGCUGGGGCAAGGGGCUGCCAGUCUGGCUUCUGAGGCUCCCUCCCUCCUUAGUGGCUUGCAUGAUGAGCUUCUCCCUUGGAGUUCCUGAGAGUUUGUGGCCCAGGGGAGAGACACCACUGGCCUUAAGUCUUUCUGAAAUGUUUUUCCAUCCAAGGGGACACCGCGGGCCACAGAGGAUGAACCAUCUUUAUUAGCUCAGAGACUGUCUUAGCUGUGUUCAGCUGUAACAGUGCAUCAAAGGCACAGCUGUCUCCUGAGUCAAGUAGCAGCAAGAGACAGAAAGAACAUUCUCUCCAAGGACAAUCUGGACGGGAAGGAUGGGGCUUGCAAGCAAUGGCUUUUGCAGCACUGGAGCUCCUGAACUUCGGAGGUGGGUGGAGAGAGCUUCCAGAAGGCCGUGUGCAGACGCAGGGGUGCGGAUUGAUUAUGAACUUGGGGGAACAGGCCUUGGCCUCUCCUGAGUGGCGGUCAGGGUGCCAGAAGGUUGGAAGGUCUCGUCUCGGCCUCCGAGUGAGUGAGGCACCGGUGCACACAACUCACUGCUGUAGAUUGGUGACAGGUGCCCCUGGUGGCCCGAGCCCAGAGGCAGCGGUCGGAGGGCAGCACUCUGGCUCCUGGCCCUUCCUGGCGGGACCGAUCCUGGGCCAGUGCACAGGUGGGGAUGCGUCUUAGCCUAUACGUCAGUGAUGGGCCAGCAGGAAGCACAGCCGCUGCUACCAGGCACCUGGACAUGCCGGGACCAGCUUUGGGACUUUGCAGACGAAUGGUCCAGUUUUCCCCACAGCUCAAUUUGAGCAUCUGUACUGGGGGGACAUGUGAUUAAAAAAAAAAAAACA